rnacentral:rRNA from 1 species
AAACUCCGCAAUGGGCGAAAGCCCGACGGGGUUACCCCGAGUGCCACCCUCGUGGUGGCUUUUGCCCGCUCUAAAAGGCGGGCGAAUAAGGGGAGGGCAAGUCGGGUGUCAGCCGCCGCGGUAAUACCCGCUCCCCGAGUGGUGGAGGCUAUUACUGGGCCUAAAGCGCCCGUAGCCGGCCCGGUGUGUCCCUCGUUAAAUCCACGGGCUUAACCCGUGGGCUGCGGGGGAUACUACCGGGCUUGGGGGUGGGAGAGGCGCCCGGUAUUCCCGGGGGUAGGGGUAAAUCCUCUGAUCCCGGGAGGACCAUCAGUGGCGAAGGCGGGCGCCAGAACACGCCCGACGGUGAGGGG